rnacentral:rRNA from 1 species
GACGAACGCUGGCGGCGUGCUUAACACAUGCAAGUCGAACGGUGAAAGAAGAGCUUGCUCUUCUGGAUCAGUGGCGAACGGGUGAGUAACACGUGAGUAACCUGCCCCAGACUUUGGAAUAAGCGCUGGAAACGGCGUCUAAUACCGGAUACGAGACAGAGCUGCAUGGCUACUGUCUGGAAAUUUUUUCGGUCUGGGAUGGACUCGCGGCUUAUCAGCUUGUUGGUGAGGUAACGGCUCACCAAGGCAACGACGGGUAGCCGGCCUGAGAGGGCGACCGGGGAAAAGAGGACUAAGAGAGGGAGCAGAGUGGAACAGGGGGCAGAAGGGGGAAGUAGGGGACAACGGGCGAGAGCAGGUGGCAGAAGCACAGGGGGGGGAAAGACGGGCGGUUGGGAAAGAAAAGCGGGCGGCGAAGAAGAAGCGGGGGUGACGGUAACAGAUAAAGAAGCACCGGAUAACUAGGUG